AUUGAACGCUGGCGGCAGGCCUAACACAUGCAAGUCGAACGAGUGGCGGACGGGUGAGUAAUGUAUGGGAAACUGCCCGAUGGAGGGGGAUAACUACUGGAAACGGUAGCUAAUACCGCAUACCAUCGGAUGUGCCCAGAUGGGAUUAGCUAGUAGGUGGGGUAACGGCUCACCUAGGCGACGAUCCCUAGCUGGUCUGAGAGGAUGACCAGCCACACUGGAACUGAGACACGGUCCAGACUCCUACGGGAGGCAGCAGUGGGGAAUAUGUCACAAUGGGCGCAAGCCUGAUGCAGCCAUGCCGCGUGUAUGAAGAAGGCCUUCGGGUUGUAAAGUACUUUCAGCGUGGAGGCGUUACCCGCAGAAGAAGCACCGGCUAACUCCGUGCCAGCAGCCGCGGUAAUUC
rnacentral:rRNA from 1 species